rnacentral:lncRNA from 1 species
UUAAUAAAGAUUAAAAUGAAUAUUUAUAUGUGAUGAGACCUAAAACCCUCAACCAAACCAUUAUUAAGUUGACAAGCGUGAGAGUGCUUUGAACACUCUUUCGUGGCCUUCCACCGUGGUAGCUCCAAUCGUUUAUGACUUGUACACCGCCUUCACCCUAUCAUGGGGGAGUGCAAAGUGCAUGCUUAUACAUACUUGAUGAGGUGAGUGUAGGCAACGAGGAUGGCCAACAUCAUAUCAUUGUGAGGCUAUUCUUGAACCCCUUCAUGAACUAAGCAUGGUGGGAAUGACUUAACUAAGUGCAAUGGAGCCAAUAUCAUAUCAUUGUGAGGUUACAUUCUCUAGAGGCCAAAUUAGAUGGGUACUUGCAAGAGAUGCAAAUGAGUAAGUGUACUCUCUCAUUAUUAUUAAUGCUAGCCAAUAUCAUAUCAUUGUGAGGUGGGCUUGGUAGUAGUAAGCCUCCCAUACCCUACUAAGAGUUUCCUCCAAAACUCUCGAAUUCCAAUGAGGGAUAUGGAAUUUGCCAAAAAUAGUGGGUGGUGCUAUUUGAUUUAAAGACCUAGAUCAAAUGGCUUAAAAUCAAUCAAUUUAUACUCGUUAUGUAUUUGUUUACCAAUAUAUUUGCAAACGCUAUCCAAAACUUGACAAAUAAAAGCCGAAAGCUUUAGUUUCCGGACUUGGUACUACAAAACCAUAGAUUGUCUUUAAUGGCUUGUAAAUGUACCUAAGUAGUCUCAUCCUCACAAUCUUCCUAUUGAUAAUGUAUCAUUGGAAGAACAUGUUAGAUAAAG